CGCGUAGGCGGGCUAAUAAGUCAGUGGUGAAAUCUUCCGGCUCAACCGGGAACCUGCCAUUGAUACUGUUAGUCUUGAGUUCGGCUGAGGUAGGCGGAAUGUGUAAUGUAGCGGUGAAAUGCUUAGAUAUUACACAGAACACCAAUUGCGUAGGCAGCUUACUAGACCGACACUGACGCUGAGGCACGAAAGCGUGGGGAGCGAACAGGAUUAGAUACCCUGGUAGUCC
rnacentral:rRNA from 1 species